CGAUUGAUGGCUCAGUGAGGCUUUGGGACUGGCCCAGAGAGGUCGGCAACGACCACUCAGGGCCGGAAACUUAUCCAAACUCGGUCAUUUAGAGGAAGUAAAAGUCGUAACAAGGUCUCCGUUGGUGAACCAGCGGAGGGAUCAUUA
rnacentral:rRNA from 1 species